rnacentral:antisense_RNA from 1 species
GUAUGCAGUGCACAUAGGGACGAUGUAGCUGAAAGCCGAUUUGAUCUUGGGGAACAUAGUCAUGAAAACAGACAUGGUGUAGUUGGUGAGCUCGUGAUUAAGGACAACGGGACCGUGAGUAGUGUAAGUACCGUUACCAGCCUUGUCGAUGACUGCUUGGUAGUUAUCCGUCACAUCUUGCUCAGUGACGCCAUCGGUUCCAGCCGCCCAGUCAUCGGUGUCGUCUGACCAGAUGAUGGUGGUCAGGUUGAGUGCCUGGGCAAUCAUACGAACUCUGUUGUCGACAUCGCCGUACGGAGGUCGCCAGCACUGGGGAGUAACUCCAAGGACAGCCUUGAUGGCUUUCUGGGUGUAGUACAACUCGGCAAAGACAACCUCGUUACUGAGAGCGGUCAUGUACUGAUGAGACCAGGUGUGAACACAUAUUUGAUGGCCUUCGUCGUGAGCCCUCAUAGCCUGGAGAGGCCAGUCCAUGACAUUGGAUCCAAUGAAAAACAUGGUAGCCUUCUGGUUGUUCUCCGAAAGAAGAUUAUACAAAGCGUUGUGACUACAGUUAGGUCCAUCGUCGAAACC